CGAACGCUGGCGGCAGGCCUAACACAUGCAAGUCGAACGGCAGCACAGAGGAGCUUGCUCCUUGGGUGGCGAGUGGCGGACGGGUGAGGAAUACAUCGGAAUCUGCCUAUUUGUGGGGGAUAACGUAGGGAAACUUACGCUAAUACCGCAUACGACCUACGGGUGAAAGCGGAGGACCUUCGGGCUUCGCGCAGAUAGAUGAGCCGAUGUCGGAUUAGCUAGUUGGCGGGGUAAAGGCCCACCAAGGCGACGAUCCGUAGCUGGUCUGAGAGGAUGAUCAGCCACACUGGAACUGAGACACGGUCC
rnacentral:rRNA from 1 species